ensembl:processed_transcript Gm15651 predicted gene 15651
CAGGCCAAGGACAUUUCCGUGGUAGCAGGGUGUUUCUCUCUCAUCAUAUGGAAUCUGUGUGCAAUUGAAGCAUCCUGGAAACGGAAGAAAAGAAGGCAAGAAAAGCCUGGUUAGUGAUUGUGGCCAUGAGGUAUGGUGGGAAGACACACAUAUAUGCCCCUGGAAGGCCCAGAUUAAAGAGACUCCAAAUCAUAGGGGCACAUCACCGCGUCCAGGGGUAAGCUAGUGCCACCACUCCGUCCUUUGAGAGCCUCACUUGGUUGCCUCAGAGCCUGGCACUCAUCACAGUAUCUCAAGCCCAGUGAAUGGCCACAAUUCAGCCUUUGUAAACACAGGCAAGAGCAGGCUCUAAAGAGAAGAGAACACCACUCUCCUUCCAGAAGAGUGAGGGGCUCUCCUCAGGUGAAGCCAGAAGCCAGCGAGGAGUGGGUGAGGUGUGAUGUGGUGUGGUGUGGUGUGGUGAUGGGUGGUGACAUAAAGUGAGGAGUAUUUCAUGAGAAGUUGCAAAAAUAGUACUUUUUCUCAUGUCCCACUCACCCAGCGUCCAGCGAUGAUAACAUCUUAUAUAACAGCACAUUAUCAAACCCAAAGCUGACGCUGGUAUUAACUCUUUGUUGUCUGUUUCACCCAAAACAAUUAACAAUAGUACUGGAUAGUGCCUUUAGCAGACAACAAAAGUGUAUUAAACGUCUAACUUCUGCCUAUUAAUCAUUCUAUCCACAGGACUGCCUCUGAAGCUAGCAACAAUCUUGAUCCUUUCCUAUCCAAUCUGUUGCCCCACCCCCACCCCCCUUUGGCUGCAUGGUUGGCUAUCUGUACCACAGAACUCACCACGACGCUCCAUGACACUGUGUUUCUGGGUGUCCCAUUUCUCAGGUUGGAACCAGAGUCCAGCCCAGAGUCCUAUCUGCAUCCCACACUCCCAUUACAGCUAUCUGUGAGUGCUCAUGGUUGUGACUGGUGUUGACAUGGUGGGGCUCCAGGACCUAUAGGCCAGAAUAGGAUCCAAGCUGAACUCGGUUCUUCACUCCUAGCCUUCCGCACCUCCUAACGACCCCAGCAGAAGAGUGUGUACUGCCCCCUUAUCACACAGUCCGAAUCGAGCACUGUGGACGCAGAUGCUGAACACUCGAAAUAAACUAACUAAUUGGUUGGAGACAGGACAGCCCAGAAACAAGGAGCUGAUUUAGAUUUGCCCAGAAGUGACUGCAGCAGCCAAUCAGAAAUCUCUGGGGAUGCUGGGGUAUCCCUGUAGUCUCAGCAUGCGGACAGAGUGAGGCAGGAGGAUUUAGAGUUCAAGGCUAGCCUGGACUACAAGGUGGUACUAUAUCUCAAUGAACCUACCCACUCACCCGCCUACCUAACAACCAACAAUCAACAAAUAAAUAACCAACAAAAAUCUAUUUAUUAGACUCCGUGUUCAAAAGAUUCUUAAAAUUCUGGAGAGCCAAAAAUAAAAGUUCAUAGAGCAGAUUUUUAGCUAAUGUAUAUUCCCUCUUCCCCUCUCUUCCCUUUUCGUUUCCUCUCUUCCUUCUUUUCCCCUUUCUCCUCUCUCUCUCUCUCUCUCUCUCUCUCUCUCUCUUUCUCCUUCCCUCCUUCUCUCCCUCUUUCUUCUAAGACAGCUCUUACCAUGUGGUUCUAGCUGGCCUGGAACUCACUAUGUAUACCAGCAGUUCUCAACCUUUUGGGCCUGACCUCUGUGGGGGUCAAACAACUCUUUCACAGAGGUCUCCUAAGAUUAUCGGAAAACACAGACAUUGACAUUAUGGUUCAUAACAGUUGCAAAAUUAUAGUUAUGAAGCAGCAGCAAAAAGAAUUUCAUGGUUGGAGUCACCACGGUAUGAGUUAAAGGGUCACAGCAUUAGGAAGGUUGAGAACCACAGAUGUAGACUGUACUCAGCUCAAACUCUGAGAGAUCCUCCUGCCUCUGACUCCCCUGCAUUGGGAUUAAAGCUGUGUGCUCUUCCGUGCCGGGCAUAUUGUUUCUUGAUAAGGAAAGUCAACAAUAGAGCAUCAAGUGCAGCUCUCUGAAGAAGCAUUUGGGGUGCAUACUAUGUGUGAUGAGUUUCAUUAUGGAUAGGGGUGACCCCAGCCAGCAGCCACCAUGUGGAAUCUGGGAGGGCAGGUACUGGCUUAUUUUGUGGCUGAUAAACAUUCCUUGGGCAUUUAACAGUUAAAUUUUGCUACUGGUUUACUCUUGUAGUUUUCUGAUCUGUCAAGAGCUGAUAGUCUGGGCAGAGUCACCUUGUAGACACAUGGUGGCAGGUGUCAAAAUUCAGGGGGGCCUGUUCGGACCCCUUGAACCCACACAGCCGUCUCAGCUCCUCUGUGCAGCUCCUCUUCCUAGCCUAGACCAUGCCUAUCUCCCUCUCGUCCAGCAAGUCUCAAUGAACAUUCCCAACAAGAUAUAUGUGAUAUUUGUCAAAUGAUUUUCUAGAAUUCCCGAAAAGCAUUCCAUCUAGCUGUGUUCCUUUGAAACACUGAUUUUCUCCUGUCAGG